rnacentral:misc_RNA from 1 species
ACCGAAGCCUGUAACCGCCUCCGGGCGUGACGGGCGGCUGGUAUCCUCCUUCUGAGGGGUGUAUGGUGCAGUUUGGGCCGGCCCUUAUGGGUCGUGCAUCCCCAAUGUUGCAGCGGACCAUCCCUUGGGCAUUACAGUGGGGGCAAGUGGAUAGUUCUAGGCAUCUUUGGCGGCUCCGGCCCUGGAGGUGGCUUGGGCUGGGUGCUGGGCCUCGGUCCGCGCCCCGAUCUUUUAACUAGCUCUGAUACCUCUUCAUUGAGGGUUGCCGGCGGCCUUUCGCCUUUCGGGGCGGAGGGUCUCCCGGGAAAGAUAGUUACCUGGUUGAUUCUGCCAGUAGUCAUAUGCUUGUCUCAA